CACCAACAAACGCAGGAUGCUGAGCCUUUGUUACUGCAAGUAGGUUUCCGAAACCACACCCUGGAUGUUUGGGACUUUGCCAGUGCACCUGAUUGGAAAACAAUGCCUAUAUUUGCUGAUUCAAGAUGGAGAUUUACAAUAGUCCUUGCGCUGUGUAAUCUGGCUCCAACCCAGGAAGGGAGGUCCAAAGCAUCAAAAUCCACUUAGCCAGCCAAAGAGAAACUGAGGUAUGGCAGCCCCAGAUGUCAGCGAGAGAAACUGCACCUCACAAUGAUUAGCCUUCCAGAAAGCAGGUGGGUUAUGCACUGUUGUUCCAAUGGGGAUUCUGUUAGGGAAGAGCAGCUUUUAAUUCGGGCUGACUGAAGCUGUCCAGGGACUGUAUUGAAUCAAUGCAACCAUCAAGCACCCCAUCCUUUAGGAGUGUCACUGCUUCUGGGGUUGUGCUGGCUAACUAAAGGCUCAUUAUGGAGCAGGUGCUGUAUGCAUUUUGCACCUUCACAGCCUCCUUCUGAACAGGGACCCUUCAUGCAGGGUGAGGCUGUUGGUUAUCAGCUGAAAGCACAGCUAUACACUGUUCUUCACUCAGGGCUGAAGCUAAAACUUUAAUCUAACCCUGUAUUAUUUAUAUUUCAGUAAUAUUGAACUAACUGGGAAUCACUACCACAUAUUUUAUUUUGCCUUUAUUUUGUCAAGUUCUUUAAGGGCAAUAGAUAAAUAUGAAUAGAAAUAAAGGAAGAA